rnacentral:rRNA from 1 species
AGAGUUUGAUCCUGGCUCAGGAUGAACGCUAGCGACAGGCCUAACACAUGCAAGUCGAGGGGCAGCGGGGAGGUAGCAAUACCUUUGCCGGCGACCGGCGCACGGGUGAGUAACACGUAUGCAAUCCACCUGUAACAGGGGGAUAACCCGGAGAAAUCCGGACUAAUACCCCAUAAUAUGGGCGCUCCGCAUGGAGAGUUCAUUAAAGAGAGCAAUUUUGGUUACAGACGAGCAUGCGCUCCAUUAGCCAGUUGGCGGGGUAACGGCCCACCAAAGCGACGAUGGAUAGGGGUUCUGAGAGGAAGGUCCCCCACAUUGGAACUGAGACACGGUCCAAACUCCUACGGGAGGCAGCAGUGAGGAAUAUUGGUCAAUGGUCGGCAGACUGAACCAGCCAAGUCGCGUGAGGGAAGACGGCCCUACGGGUUGUAAACCUCUUUUGUCGGAGAGUAAAGUACGCUACGUGUAGCGUAUUGCAAGUAUCCGAAGAAAAAGCAUCGGCUAACUCCGUGCCAGCAGCCGCGGUAAUACGGAGGAUGCGAGCGUUAUCCGGAUUUAUUGGGUUUAAAGGGUGCGUAGGCGGCACGCCAAGUCAGCGGUGAAAUUUCCGGGCUCAACCCGGACUGUGCCGUUGAAACUGGCGAGCUAGAGUGCACAAGAGGCAGGCGGAAUGCGUGGUGUAGCGGUGAAAUGCAUAGAUAUCACGCAGAACCCCGAUUGCGAAGGCAGCCUGCUAGGGUGCGACAGACGCUGAGGCACGAAAGCGUGGGUAUCGAACAGGAUUAGAUACCCUGGUAGUCCACGCAGUAAACGAUG